rnacentral:rRNA from 1 species
GAUGAACGCUGGCGGCGUGCCUAAUACAUGCAAGUCGAGCGAACAGAUGAGGAGCUUGCUCCUCUGACGUUAGCGGCGGACGGGUGAGUAACACGUGGAUAACCUACCUAUAAGACUGGGAUAACUUCGGGAAACCGGAGCUAAUACCGGAUAAUAUAUUGAACCGCAUGGUUCAAUAGUGAAAGACGGUUUUGCUGUCACUUAUAGAUGGAUCCGCGCCGCAUUAGCUAGUUGGUAAGGUAACGGCUUACCAAGGCAACGAUGCGUAGCCGGCCUGAGAGGGUGAUCGGCCACACUGGAACUGAGACACGGUCCAGACUCCUACGGGAGGCAGCAGUAGGGAAUCUUCCGCAAUGGGCGAAAGCCUGACGGAGCAACGCCGCGUGAGUGAUGAAGGUCUUCGGAUCGUAAAACUCUGUUAUUAGGGAAGAACAAAUGUGUAAGUAACUAUGCACGUCUUGGCGGUACCUAAUCAGAAAGCCACGGCUAACUACGUG